rnacentral:lncRNA from 1 species
GAGUUCCGGGUCGUGACAUAUGAUCACUUACUUGGAUCUAGAUGGUACAAGAUGAAGUGCUGAACUCUAUUACAAAGAUUGGCGUUUAAGUGCAGUAAGGUGCUGUGAAGCUUUUCUAGUUUUUUCUACUUUCUAUAGCCCAAAUCUCAUUCAAGGCUUUAAAAAACUUGUUUCUCAUUGUUGGAAGACCCUUUUAUACUUAGAGAUACAACUCUGAUGG